rnacentral:misc_RNA from 1 species
GAUGAAGAACGUAGCGAAAUGCGAUAAGUAAUGUGAAUUGCAGAAUUCAGUGAAUCAUCGAAUCUUUGAACGCACAUUGCGCCCGCCAGUAUUCUGGCGGGCAUGCCUGUUCGAGCGUCAUUACAACCCUCAGGCCCCCGGGCCUGGCGUUGGGGAUCGGCGGAGCCCCCCGUGGGCACGCGCCGUCCCCCAAAUACAGUGGCGGUCCCGCCGCAGCUUCCAUCGCGUAGUAGCUAACACCUCGCGACUGGAGAGCGGCGCGGCCACGCCGUAAAACACCCAACUCUUCUGAAGUUGACCUCGAAUCAGGUAGGAAUACCCGCUGAACUUAAGCAUAUCAAUAAGCGGAGGA